GGAAGCCACCUGAGAUGGCGCCCAUUUCCUGCUUCCGGGUUCUUCCCGGCCUGAACAAGCCCGCCAAAUUGUCAUAUCUGCCCAGUUACCCGUGACGCUAGCCUAUCAGCUUGUUAGGCGCGCUUCUCUGUGAUUGGAUACUGCUUCCCCUUAUAAGAGGUUGUUCCUGCCCCCAACGGCGGAAGAGGAAUCAACACCGAGGGUGGCGGACCUUGUCAGGUCCGGUUCGCUGUACGUAAUAAAGUUUGAGAGCUGAUCCUGCUCGAGUUUGGUCUCCUGUCUCCCGCGGCUCCGGUCAUCUGGUGGCCGCCCGUACGGGGAAAAAGGUAAAAGACUCAGCGACGUGCCUCUUCGGCCGGGAGGUGCGAUUGCUGUCGCCUGCGGUACGACGGAGGACCUGGCUCAAUAACAACGGAAGGCCGCGAGCGCCUCUUCUCUUCACCCUGAUCAGCUACGUGAGAUACAGCGGUUCCCGUGACAGGAACCAGGCUGCGAACCGCUGUGGGUCCCGGAAAGAUUGACGCGAGCAGUAAACUCCCCACCAGUUCCUGAUAAAGCACAGGAAGAUAAGCCCGCGGACACAAGUCAACUCGACCCUUCUGGGACCGACGCUCAGCGCCCGAGACCAUCUACAAACUAAAAUGUCUGGUUUGGAGCUUUUUCUAUUCUGUGGGUUCCUAUUAAUCACCCCUGUGAUAUGCUCAGAUUCCACAGAACCACCACAAUAUCUUUGGGGUCCUUGGCACCACCCGCCCACAUUGGCACCUUUUUCGGCGGCCUCGCCCGCCUCACCCAGGGUUUACACCAUCAAUCAAACAGUCCUUGAUUAUGCUAAUUGCCAUGGCUAUCCUAGUAGAGCUUGUGGUUAUUAAAUGCUUGUUAGAUCGCCUCAUACAAACUCAGCAGCAGGUUAAGAUCACAGCUAUGGCAGCCAUGCAAAUGGCAGCAGGUGGCCCAUCAGGCCAGCAGGCCGCCGCAUAUCUCCUUCACAUUGCAGAACAUCAGCUAUAAGAGCUGAGUGGGCAAGCCAAUGACGGGUAAGACGGGAAAAGCCCUCCCAGUCAACCUAAGACAGGCUCCACUCAGAUAUAUAUGGCCUAUAAGGCCAGGGGUCCCUCCUGGAGCCAAAUUAUUGGCAUUGAGAUGCGAGACCAAGGGUACUGCAGUGCCAUCCGCCCCAAAGGUUGGGGGGAAGGCAGGAAUGAAUGUCUAUAUGCAUCCAGGUUCGGUUCACAAAAGCCUGGCCCUGCGAAAAAAUGAACCACUCACCUUGAGCAUGGUCCUGGCGCAAGGAUAUGCACAAAACAGGGUGAUGCACAGCAGGGUAUAGACCUCUACAUUCUCUCAUGCCUCGGCCUACAAGGUAGGCCCACUCCUAGGUGUCUAACAGCAACAAGGUCAUAGACACCUUGGAGGGACCCACAGACCAUCCUAUUUUAAUAAAUAAAAAAGGGAGAGAUGUGGGAAGCCACCUGAGAUGGCGCCCAUUUCCUGCUUCCGGGUUCUUCCCGGCCUGAACAAGCCCGCCAAAUUGUCAUAUCUGCCCAGUUACCCGUGACGCUAGCCUAUCAGCUUGUUAGGCGCGCUUCUCUGUGAUUGGAUACUGCUUCCCCUUAUAAGAGGUUGUUCCUGCCCCCAACGGCGGAAGAGGAAUCAACACCGAGGGUGGCGGACCUUGUCAGGUCCGGUUCGCUGUACGUAAUAAAGUUUGAGAGCUGA